GGUGUGGUCGCUCAGUGGUUAAGACAUUGGACUCAUGAUCGGAAGGUUGAGAGUUCAAACCCCAGCACUGCCA